GAUGAACGCUGGCGGCGUGCCUAAUGCAUGCAAGUCGAACGGUUUGAUUUAUCAGAUAGUGGCGAACGGCUGAGUAAUGCACAGGUGACCUGCCCUCAAGUGGGGGAUAACACCGAGAAAUCGGUGCUAAUACCGCAUGUGGCUCCGGCAAUACGUUGCUGGAAUUAAAGCCUUCGGGCGCUUGAGGAGGGGCUUGUGUCCUAUCAGGUAGUUGGUAGGGUAACGGCCUACCAAGCCAUAGACGGGUAGCUGGUCUGAGAGGAUGGUCAGCCAGACAGGGAAUGAGAGACGGCCCUGACUCCUACGGGAGGCAGCAGCAAGGGAUAUUGCGCAAUGGGCGAAAGCCUGACGCAGCGACGCCGCGUGGGGGAAGAAGGCUUUCGGGUUGUAAACCCCUUUUCUUGGUGAAGAGUAAGGACGGUAGCCAAGGAAUAAGUCUCGGCUAACUACGUG
rnacentral:rRNA from 1 species